UUUUCCGUAGGUGAACCUGCGGAAGGAUCAUUACCUAGAGUUGUAGGCUUUGCCUGCUAUCUCUUACCCAUGUCUUUUGAGUACCUUACGUUUCCUCGGUGGGUUCGCCCACCGAUUGGACAAAUUUAAACCCUUUGCAGUUGAAAUCAGCGUCUGAAAAAACUUAAUAGUUACAACUUUCAACAACGGAUCUCUUGGUUCUGGCAUCGAUGAAGAACGCAGCGAAAUGCGAUAAGUAGUGUGAAUUGCAGAAUUCAGUGAAUCAUCGAAUCUUUGAACGCACAUUGCGCCCCUUGGUAUUCCAUGGGGCAUGCCUGUUCGAGCGUCAUUUGUACCUUCAAGCUCUGCUUGGUGUUGGGUGUUUGUCUCCUGUAGACUCGCCUCAAAACAAUUGGCAGCCGGCGUAUUGAUUUCGGAGCGCAGUACAUCUCGCGCUUUGCACUCAUAACGACGACAUCCAAAAGUACAUUUUUACACUCUUGACCUCGGAUCAGGUAGGGAUACCCGCUGAACUUAAGCAUAUCAAUAAGCGGAGGAA
rnacentral:rRNA from 1 species